rnacentral:tRNA from 1 species
AAUAAGAUGCCUGAUAAAAGGAUCACUUUGAUAGAGUGAAUAAUGUAAGAUUUUCUUACUCUUAUUA